GAAGCUUAUAAUGUUUUGUUUUAUUUUUAGCCGCAGUUCUUUUCCUUCGGUACAACUGUACAAAGUGUUAAAGAAAACGCGAUGCCGCUUUGGCACGGGCUUCCUGUGUGUUCUGUCUCCCCUGUUGGCGCGCCCAGCCUUCCUCGCUGCGAACGUUCCGUCUAUGCCUGCGACUGAGACAGGAAGCCAGACACACAUGCUGAAAUAAUUUCAACAAAUAUCAACUCAAAACCAACUUGAAGCAGCCGAAAAAGGCAGGGCUGGUUGGGGCUGCGUCCCCCCCCCCCCCCCCCCAGCCUGGUGCCGAGCUGACCGCACCGGCUGCGCGACGUUCAUCCAAAGCCUUCUUCCUUGAGGGUCCGUGCAUUCGCCUGUCCGGCGACCCGGCAGGUGCCGGUUUCGGCCGCCUGGCACCCAAACCCCCCUCUUGGGCGAAAUCACCCCAGUUUUCCUCCGGACAACGCUCGCUCUCCCUCCUCCGCGCAGGUGGAGUGCAGAGAGCCGGCCCCGCCUCCAGGGCGUGUGACUGAAACCUGGCCAAUCAGAGCAUGCUUUCCCUGGCCAAUCAGAGCAGGGCAGAGGGGCUGCACUGAUUGGCUCGGCUUGGGGCACAUGAUCGCCGCCAGGCCAAUGGGAUCCAGUUCUGGGACUUUGGCUGGCAGAAUUAGAAAGGAAUUUCUUCCCACUUGAUUCAGAGCAGUGAGAAAAGGAGCCUGGGGAGAAGCUGGGUACCGGGAGGGGAGAAUCUACUUGAAAGGGACAUCAGUAAGGGGGAGCGUCCUUUGAUGGUGGAGACAGACAUCUUCCUAACGUCACAGCGUGCCCGUCUGGAUCUGGCGGCAAAUAAUCUCGCCCCGCUCUCCCUGGUGCUUUUGAGUUACAAGAGUCAACGAUUCCCUCUUCUGCUAAAACCAGCCUGAGUCGGGUUUGGCUCUCUUAUUAGAGGAAGAAUUAACAGAUUCCAAGGCAGCGCUCUGCCGGGCUGUACGGGGGCCCUGCUAAGUCUCCUCCUGGACUUUGCCCACGCAGGCACCUGGUUCGCUCUCUCGCCUCCUUCCCCCCCUAACAUCUCCGGGCUUGAAAUCCAGCCUCCCCUCACCCUGACAGCACACUCUCCUGCCCUCACUGGACAUGGUGCUGUGGUGCCAGUCUGUCUCUAGAACCAGAAGGUGGGAUCCUUGAGGUCAGAGGUUGGGCCUUGUGUGCUGGCACCCCCGAGCAUGCGGCUGUGCUAAAAAAAAAAAAAAAAAAAAAAAAAGUCAGAUGAUUGAGAGAUGAGACCUCCCCAAACAAGCAGCCAAUUUCAGUCAAGAACUUGGCACAGGGCUUUCACCUAGUACUAGUAGGUAAUAGGCAUUCUGAUUUCUACCUUUAUUCUGGACCGAUUCAGCUCUAUCUGCUUGAGCUGAAGGCAAGGUGUGGGGAGGGUCUCCUUUUCGUUUAGAACCCGAGACGCCCUUCUCAACCAGCUCACAGGCUCUGCCCUCAACCCCUUCUGCAGACGAGGUGACUGAGGGCCGGCAAGGAGAGUGACCGCUAAUGAGAGGACUCAGGCCCCGGAGCCAGGCUGGGGCACACACAACACCGUGGUGUCCCUCUAUCAUACCAAUACCGAAGAGUAGAGAGCUUUUUGGGUUUUUUUUCCUCAAAAAAAAAAUUUUUUUUUUUUUUUUGUAAGAUAGAUGUAUGCCCCAAGCUCUGCCCUGACUGUAGGGCUCUGUGCUCCAGAAGCUUACGGAACCCUGGGGUUGAGGCCCAAACAACAGUCAUCCCUGGGGAGUCAACAGGUUGGGCUGAUUUUUAAAAAACCUUGACCCUCUGGUGAAGGUUAAAGAUGGCUCUAUUUAGAGAAAGAAACACGAGUUUCUGUGAUGGGCCCUGUGGGUAGCUCACUCGGACUCCCUGCGAUCCCUUUUAAGGUCCUGUCUCCCCUUCCCCGGCUUCCACGUGUGGGUACCUGGGAACAUCCCCUGAGGGCCGCCCCGGGGCUUGUGAAACGCCUCACCAAAGAGCCAGGAGCAUCUGAGAGUCUACCUCUCAUCCGGAAGCAACUUACCCCCUAGAGGUGCCCACAGGUCCCUUUGGGAGCUUUGGGAUAAGGCUGAGACGGACUUUGUCCAAAACCGUCCCUACCUUGCUUUGUUUCUCCUCCUUCUCGGUCUUCUUCCCAAUCCCCUUAACCGUCUCCCCUAGGAGCGCCCCUGACCCAUCCCCUAGCACAAACCCAUGCCUCAGGGUUUACUUCUGGAAGGGACCCACCUCAGGGAGUUUCUUUCUUGCAGACCUCAUCAGAGCUUUUGACACGCUACAGAGAAGGAUGAUUUUCUAAGAGGGAGGAAAAGUAGCCAGUGUCUUGCCAACUCUUUCCACCCCAAUUAACAAAAGCGGUGGGCUAAUUUUAACCCCUUUUAUUACAACCCCCUGCCUGAGCUGGUGUCUUCACUGGGCUCCCCGGAGGCUGCCUGAACUGGAACAGAGGUCCAAGAGAUGGCUCAAGGGCCCACAGAAGUUCAGCAGGCUCUCCGGCACCCCAGUAAAUGGGCCCUGGGACUGUUGCCGAGGGCGGUGAAGGGCGGGGGGGGGGGGGGGGGGGAUGGGAGGUAAUGUGACCAAAGAAGUCAGAAAGCGUCAUUCCAAAGAAUUGUAAAAUUUAUUGUAUAAGUAUUGCAGCUUUUCAGAAAGUCAUCAUUGCCACUAAUGAUUAUUGAUACACAAGAAGCGAUUUCAUCAGGCCUGUGAAUUGGCAUCCAAAUACAGAGUCUCACGUGGCAGCAACGUGGGCGCCGCACCCAGCGUGCCACAGGGAAUUUACAUGAGUUUAACUUGAACAGACCUCGGGAAACAGGGCUGCAAAGGAGAGCGGCCUCAACGCCAAGAACGCAAGGUAAAAGCGUGCCAUGAGCACACCGCCGUGGAAUCGGGCAGGCAAACGAGAAGGCGUGUCCUCCUGGGCUCUAUAGUACAGCAAAAUUCGAAGCGCGGCUUCCAGGACAAACAAAACAAAACAAAACGACACUUGUAGUUUUCCUGAUCGCUGGGAUGUUUGUGGGCAUGUAGGAAACAAGUUCGGAAACAUACCAUUCACAGCGGAGACGAGGACAGGGGACAGACUCGGUUCUGGCACUGGCCUGGUGUUCACUAGACGUGGGGGGGCGAGGGGAGUCUCAGCUCCUUGCAAAGAACACUUUGUGGGGGACACGGGGGGCUCUAAGGGCCCCUGCUAAGUCGGCCUGCGGAGACCCGGGCUUUGGGGGGGGAGGGGGAAUGAUCUUCCUCGGGAGGAAAUGCGGUUGAGAAGCAGGGAAACGAGGACAAGAGAAAGCCCCACCCGGUCUCCCUCCAACCAGCCACUGCGGAGGACCCCAAACUUUUUACUGGCAAAAGGGGGCCUCCCGAGGGGUGCUCAGAGCCUUUUCAGCGACAAGGGCAUGGCGGCCAGCAUCUGGAGGGAACGAGUGCACCCCCAGAGACCAAGAGCUUAGUGCUAGCAGUUUCCAGAAACACCCCCCCCCCGGUUUUCUCGGGAUGCGCCCCGACUUCGCCCGGCCUCUCUGCCGGGAGCCUCUGCAAGGGGCCUGUGCUGGGCACGAAACCCCGGGGCCCUGCGGCCCAGCAGUCCCGGGAUGUGAUUGCGGAGACGCGCUCUGCCCUCAAGCCCGCUGAGGUCAGGAGCCCACCCUCCUGCUUCCUCCCACACAGGCCACACCGCCAGGAUCCACGCCGAGACCGGGGCCACGCCUGGGCCCGACAUUGCCCAGGCAGACGAGGUCGGCGUCCGGGCUCACAACCCGCCCGGGAGUUGGCACAGGACUGGACCCAGACAAAUUACACCGAGUUCUCAGCACGACUUGCGAAAAGCAUCCUCUCUGAGAGAGGAGCGAAGUUUAGGCCGAGGACCCCACGGAGAGGCAGCUUUUUAUCAAAGUACAAGAACCUUCUGCCAGGCUGGUCAGCAGCGAACGCCCAGAGUCCGCGUUUAUCUGUUGGUCACCACGCUCUUAAAAUGUGUAUAUAAAUAGAGUUCAAAUGGUCAGAACUUCAAAACUGUUCUCAGGUGUUUAAGUAAUAAAAAAGUUGCUUAGAAACAAG